rnacentral:rRNA from 1 species
AUUGAACGCUGGCGGCAGGCCUAACACAUGCAAGUCGAACGAGCGGCGGACGGGUGAGUAAUGUCUGGGAAACUGCCCGAUGGAGGGGGAUAACUACUGGAAACGGUAGCUAAUACCGCAUACCAUCGGAUGUGCCCAGAUGGGAUUAGCUAGUGGGUGGGGUAACGGCUCACCUAGGCGACGAUCCCUAGCUGGUCUGAGAGGAUGAUCAGCCACACGGGAACUGAGACACGGUCCAGACUCCUACGGGAGGCAGCAGUGGGGAAUAUUGCACAAUGGGCGCAAGCCUGAUGCAGCCAUGCCGCGUGUAUGAAGAAGGCCUUCGGGUUGUAAAGUACUUUCAGCGGGGAGGCGUUACUCGCAGAAGAAGCACCGGCUAACUCCGUGCCAGCAGCCGCGGUAAUUC